rnacentral:rRNA from 1 species
GAUGAACGCUGGCGGCGCGCCUAACACAUGCAAGUCGAACGGAGUGGCGAACGGCUGAGUAACACGUUGGCAACCUGCCCUCCUCUUGGGGAUAGCCCCGGGAAAACAGGAUCAUACCCGAUAGGAAGGGAUGGCCCGCGGCUGGUUAGCUUGUGGGUGGGGUAGAGGCCUACCAAGGCAAUGAUGGGUAGCUGGGUUGGGAGACUGACCAGCCAGAUGGGGACUGAGACACGGCCCAGACGCCUACGGGGGGCAGCGGUGGGGAAUCUUGCACAGUGGGCGAAAGCCUGAUGCAGCGACGCCGCGGGCGGGACGAAGGCCUUCGGGUUGUAAACCGCUUUCAGCAGGGACGCGGUACCUGCAGAAGAAGCACCGGUUAACUACGUGCCAGCAGCCGCGGUAAUUC